GAUGAACGCUGGCGGCGUGCUUAACACAUGCAAGUCGAACGGAAAGGCCCAAGCUUGCUUGGGUCCUCGAGUGGCGAACGGGUGAGUAACACGUGGGUGAUCUGCCCUGCACUUCGGGAUAAGCCUGGGAAACUGGGUCUAAUACCGGAUAGGACCACUUCUUGGAUGUUGUGGUGGAAAGUUUUUUCGGUGUGGGAUGAGCUCGCGGCCUAUCAGCUUGUUGGUGGGGUAAUGGCCUACCAAGGCGUCGACGGGUAGCCGGCCUGAGAGGGUGUACGGCCACAUUGGGACUGAGAUACGGCCCAGACUCCUACGGGAGGCAGCAGAGGGGAAUAUUGCACAAUGGGCGCAAGCCUGAUGCAGCGACGCCGCGUGGGGGAUGACGGCCUUCGGGUUGUAAACUCCUUUCGCUAGGGACGAAGCGUUUUGUGACGGUACCUGGAGAAGAAGCACCGGCUAACUACGUG
rnacentral:rRNA from 1 species